ensembl:rRNA 5S_rRNA 5S ribosomal RNA
GUCGGCAGCUAGCUCUCUGCAUCUUGCCAACUGCACAUGGUCCUCCACUGAAGCUAAGCGGGGCUGUGCCCAGUCAGUACCUGUAUAGGAGACCACAUGGGAAAGCUAGGUUGUUGCCGGAU